rnacentral:lncRNA from 1 species
AGAGAGGGGAGAGUAUGACAUGCGGCCCCCACCUGUCAUCUCUAAGCCCAUGACCGGGGAGGCCGGAGGACCUCACCAACAACGAUUUUGGCGACGGCUAGGCGAGCAGGUGGCAGAAAUCGAGUAGGGUGUCGUCGCGUAUUGGCUGGAGGUGGUUAUGGUCACCAGAGACGGCGGAGCUCUGCUUGAGGUCAAAUCGAUUGCUCUGUGCACCGAUAAACAAGGGAAGGGGAGGGAAUUCGUCAUAUGAGCAUGGGGGAAACGAGGCAAAGGAUAAGAGCAUCGGGGGAGGCCUAUACACAGAGAUCAAAGGAUAAGGCAAAGGAUAAAAGCGGUGGAGCUCUGGUCCAAUCCGAGCACACGGGCCUUCGGGGGUCCAAUGG